CUUUCAAAUGUAUUUGUGUACAGGUUGUUACUGAAUCAUCGUACAGUGAAGUUUUAUAUUGUGUUAGAAAAGAUUGAGUAUAAUUUAUAUUAGGAUAUACGAAAUAACAAAUUGUGUAGAAGCAAAACUGUCAACGAGUGUAUUACUGAUGGCAGCGAUAUUGUAAUGGCGGCCAUAUUGGAUUAUUGCGCGCCCGUAGAGCGGUAGACUCUUCUCCAUCGUUUUUAUCGUGCCUUUUUCAGUAAGAAACCAUUAACAGAAAUUCUAUUACAAUUAGUUCUAGGUGGACCUUAUUUUUUUUUUAGAUUGACUGGACUAUUAGCAAUUGUCUGGUCUCUACAGAAAUGCCGGGAUUUAUUGUUAGGAGAAAAUAUAAAAUUAAUGACAGAUCACCAGGCAUUACCAUGUUUAAAGGCUGGUAAAACUUUUGGAAGUCACCUCACUAGAUGGUGUAUACUGAUACAGGAGUAUGACCUCACUAUACAUCAUGUGAAGGGACAGGAUAAUCUCGCUGCGGAUUACUUAAGCCGAGCACCCGAUGUGUCUAAAGCCUGUAUUCCACGAUGGAAGUUUCCUUGGAAGGUCUUCCAUGGCAGCUGGCAUGGAAGGUUCUGUGGAAGAAAUAUCGGAGCGCUGGCCGUUUCCAUGGAAGUUUUUGUAAUCGGUCGCGUUUGAAUUUCCAUGGAAGGUUUCAUAAAAUGUGAAAAUUUUAGCCAAUCAGAAUGAAGUAGUGUGCCCCUAGCGUUAAACAUUUUAAUUUAUUUUGGAGGGAUUAGUUUUGUUACUGAUUUGAAACAUGCAACGCGGUAAACAUGUGGUCUGUUGAAGCAGUUACAGCAUUAUGUGAGAAUUAUGAAAAAUAUCCAUGCUUAUACAAUACGAAAAGUAUGAACUAUCACAACAAAAAUAUUCGGCUUCGUGCACUGAACGAUAUUGCAGAAGCCGUGAGUGAAGUUCGUCCUGGAACUACAGUUGGCGAUUGUAAAGUAAAACUUGUUUCGUUGCGGACGCAAUUUGUUGCGGAAAACAACAAAAUAAACGCUUCUAAAAAAAGUGGUUGUGCUUCAGAAGAGGCAAGUAUUUGUAAUAAUUUUCUGAAGUAACAUAGGUAGUAUAUUAGCGAAGAUUGGUGCUGAUUAACAUUAUACAAUUGUGUGUUGGAUCUUUAACGUUAUUGUUUUUUGUAAUAGGUGUACGUUCCGAGUCUGUGGUACUUCAAGCAUUUACGAUUUUUGUCUGAACAUGUGGUGGCCAGAAGAAGUAAAGAAACUCCAAUCUCUUUGCCAUCAUGCAGUGUAGAAAACCAGCAUCCCACAUCCAUCACAAAUUAUUCUGGAGGGACAUCGCCUGCCAGAUGUUCCUCGUAUGGUGAUGAUCCAGUCUUAACAGAGCCAUGCUACGAGGAGAUUGUGGACCACAGGGACUACACCCUUAGCAUAGAUGACACGCAACCGAGUGUUAUACAUACUCAACCAACAACCCAGGAUGUGAGUGGCACCAGUGUAAAAGACACUCGACCUGCAGCAAAGAAAUUCAAGGGAAAUGUAAAAAAAGUUGGUUCUUUGUCUCAAUCCGACCAAGCACUCCAGAGCAUUGUUAAAGCUCUGAAAACACCAACCUACGCAACUCAAGGGUUUGCCACGUAUGUGUGUGGAGUUUUGGAUGGACUGAAGGACAAAGUUAUCCGUAUCCAAACAACGAAAAAAAUUAUGGAAAUUUUAACGGAUGCACAAAUGCAAGAUAUCAAUAGUAUGUGAGUUUUUAUUUUGUUUGUAGUUUCAAGGAUAAUUUUAUUGUGACUUUUGUAUUUAUUUUUUAAACUGAAUUUGUACAUAUUAAGUAUAUGGAACUUGUGUGCUUUAAAGUUUUAAUUGCUUGUCAUCCCUAUCAAGUUUUAGCACCCAAAGAAAAUUAAUACUGUAUACGUACAUA